rnacentral:rRNA from 1 species
CCUACGGGAGGCAGCAGUGGGGAAUAUUGGACAAUGGGCGAAAGCCUGAUCCAGCAAUGCCGCGUGAGUGAUGAAGGCCUUCGGGUCGUAAAGCUCUUUUACCAGGGAUGAUAAUGACAGUACCUGGAGAAUAAGCUCCGGCUAACUCCGUGCCAGCAGCCGCGGUAAUACGGAGGGAGCUAGCGUUGUUCGGAAUUACUGGGCGUAAAGAGUACGUAGGCGGUUAUUCAAGUCAGAGGUGAAAGCCCGGGGCUCAACCCCGGAACUGCCUUUGAAACUAGAUAGCUAGAGUCUUGGAGAGGUUAGUGGAAUUCCGAGUGUAGAGGUGAAAUUCGUAGAUAUUCGGAAGAACACCAGUGGCGAAGGCGACUAACUGGACAAGUACUGACGCUGAGGUACGAAAGCGUGGGGAGCAAACAGGAUUAGAUACCCUGGUAGUCCACGCCGUAAACGAUGAUAACUAGUUGUUCGGUCACUUGGUGACUGAGUGACGCAGCUACGCAUUAAGUUAUCCGUCCGUCGGGUAGGUACGGUCGCGAAGAAUUAAAACUUAAAAGGUAAAGUUAGUACGG